GACGAACGCUGGCGGCGUGCUUAACACAUGCAAGUCGAACGGACAGGCCCUGCUCUUGUUGGGUGCUCGUGUGGCGAACGGGUGAGUAACACGCGAGUAACCUCCCCUUGAAUUUGUGAUAAAUUCAGGAAACUGGGGCUAAUACCGGAUAGGAGCUUCUGCUGCAUGUUGGGGGUUGGAAAGUUUCGGCGGUUGGGGAUGGACUCGCGGCGUAUCAGCUUGUUGGUGGGGUAGUGGCUUACCAAGGCUUUGACGGGUAGCCGGCCUGAGGGGGUGACCGGCCACAUUGGGACUGAGGUACGGCCCAGACUCCUACGGGAGGCAGCAGUGGGGAAUAUUGCACAAUGGGCGGAAGCCUGAUGCAGCAACGCCGCGUGCGGAAUGAUGGCCUUCGGGUUGUAAACCGCUUUCGCCGUUGACGAAGCGUGAGUGACGGUAAUGGGUAAAGAAGCACCGGCUAACUACGUG
rnacentral:rRNA from 1 species